rnacentral:misc_RNA from 1 species
CAGAGUUCUCGCCCUCGCGGGUAGAUCUCCCACCCACUGUUAUUGCUACUGUGUUGCUUUGGCGGGCUGCUAGGCCCAGCCUGGCCGCCGGCUCCGGCUGGCGCGCGCCCGCCAGAGGCCCGAUUAAUUCUGAUUGUCAGUGUCGUCUGAGUACUAUAUAAUAGUUA